rnacentral:rRNA from 1 species
GAUGAACGCUGGCGGCGUGCCUAAUACAUGCAAGUCGAGCGAACGGACGAGAAGCUUGCUUCUCUGAUGUUAGCGGCGGACGGGUGAGUAACACGUGGAUAACCUACCUAUAAGACUGGGAUAACUUCGGGAAACCGGAGCUAAUACCGGAUAAUAUUUUGAACCGCAUGGUUCAAAAGUGAAAGACGGUCUUGCUGUCACUUAUAGAUGGAUCCGCGCUGCAUUAGCUAGUUGGUAAGGUAACGGCUUACCAAGGCAACGAUGCAUAGCCGACCCGAGAGGGUGAUCGGCCACACGGGAACUGAGACACGGUCCAGACUCCUACGGGAGGCAGCAGUAGGGAAUCUUCCGCAAUGGGCGAAAGCCUGACGGAGCAACGCCGCGUGAGUGAUGAAGGUCUUCGGAUCGUAAAACUCUGUUAUUAGGGAAGAACAUAUGUGUAAGUAACUGUGCACAUCUUGACGGUACCUAAUCAGAAAGCCACGGCUAACUACGUG